rnacentral:rRNA from 1 species
GAUGAACGCUGGCGGCGUGCCUAAUACAUGCAAGUCGAACGCAUAGCGAAAGGUGCUUGCACCUUUCAAGUGAGUGGCGAACGGGUGAGUAACACGUGGACAACCUGCCUCAAGGCUGGGGAUAACAUUUGGAAACAGAUGCUAAUACCGAAUAAAACUUAGUGUCGCAUGACACAAAGUUAAAAGGCGCUUCGGCGUCACCUAGAGAUGGAUCCGCGGUGCAUUAGUUAGUUGGUGGGGUAAAGGCCUACCAAGACAAUGAUGCAUAGCCGAGUUGAGAGACUGAUCGGCCACAUUGGGACUGAGACACGGCCCAAACUCCUACGGGAGGCUGCAGUAGGGAAUCUUCCACAAUGGGCGAAAGCCUGAUGGAGCAACGCCGCGUGUGUGAUGAAGGCUUUCGGGUCGUAAAGCACUGUUGUAUGGGAAGAACAGCUAGAAUAGGAAAUGAUUUUAGUUUGACGGUACCAUACCAGAAAGGGACGGCUAAAUACGCG